UGCUUCCUAUAAGGAGGUUGUUCAACUCAAGAAACAGUAUAACAGCUGCUCCCCACACUGGCAUAUUUUAAUCAACCUCAGCAACACAAUAAAGGGUGACUUCCUAAAGGUUAGGAGUCCAACAAGCUCAGCUGAUACCAGGGGAGCCACGUCAGAGCAAGAAGGUAUAAAUACACCAUCUUCCUAGCUGCUUCCUUUGCUAAAUGUGAUGUGCUGAAGCUGUGAUCAACUUCCCAUGAGCUGAAUAUUUUCUCUUCAUGGCUGGUGAAGAGCAAUGGGGAUGUUUUGAGCCCAUUACGGACAAGGGUUGUUGAUGAUUCCAUAGAUAAAGGCAGGUCAGCAGCCUUCGCUGGAUAAUUGGUGUAAGAACAAAGAGGUGUCCUUCCAUGGGAAGAGACUAUAUAAAAGGCAGCUGCAUCUCCUCCAUCUUGAUUUGUGGCAGUCCAGCAGAGGAAGAGAAAGAGCCUGCGUGGGUUCCAACUGGUGAUCUCUGCCUGCAAGAGGAGGAAAGAUAUUGCAGUGCUUUUGACUCAGCAGACUGUAUAGAGUCGAUGAACAAAGACUCUAACUGACACUCUGGUGAACUCAACCUAAGCUUUUCAAACUCCGAGUCACUUCUCGCUGCAUUUCUGUGGGGACUGACCUGUUUAGUUUUCCUUUCUUUCUUUUGUUUAUAUUUAUGUAUAACUGUGGAGAUAAUAUAUGUAGAUCAUGAAGUAGUCUUGUUGUUAGGUAGAAAUUAAGCUAUAAUUACCAUGUUUCUUUCUCAUUGUAAAAUUUUAUAGAGUUGGUGCUCAAAUAAAUUCAUUCGUCUUGUUCUUUUCGGACUUGACUGUGG